rnacentral:rRNA from 1 species
UACGGGGGGAGCAAGCGUUGUUCGGAUUUACUGGGCGUAAAGGGCGCGUCGGCGGCCACCGCAAGUCAAUUGUGAAAUCUCCGGGCUUAACUCGGAAAGGUCAACUGAUACUGCGGGGCUAGAGUGCGGAAGGGGCAACUGGAAUUCUCGGUGUAGCGGUGAAAUGCGUAGAUAUCGAGAGGAACACCUGCGGCGAAGGCGGGUUGCUGGGCCGACACUGACGCUGAUGCGCGAAAGCGUGGGUAGCAAACAGG